AGAGUGAACGCUGGCGGCAGGCCUAACACACGCAAGUCGAACGGCAGCCGCGAGCAGUAGCAAUACUGUGGGCGGCGAGUGGCGGACGGGUGAGGAAUACAUCGGAAUCUACCUUGGUCGUGGGGGAUAACGUAGGGAAACUUACGCUAAUACCGCAUACGAACUAUGGUUGAAAGCGGCGGACCGCAAGGCGUCGCGCGAUUGGGAUGAGCCGAUGUCCGAUUAGCUAGUUGGCGGGUAAGGCCCACCAAGGCGACCGAUCGGUAGGUGGUCUGAGAGGACGAUCACCCAGACUGGGACCUGAGACACGGCCCAGACUCCGUACGGGAGGCAGCAGUCGGGAUUUAGCGCAAUGGGCGAAAGCCUGACGCAGCGAACGCCGCGGUGA
rnacentral:rRNA from 1 species